GAUUGAAUAAUCAGCAUCAGAGAUCAGACUGUGUGUAUACUUUUCUUGUAAGAUCAUUUCUGUCCAUUUAAUUAGCUAAAAUGUUUGGAAUAUUUGUUUUGUUUUAUAAGUGAGUGAAGUAGAGCCUAGAGAGGACAGAUGAAAUUCUUCUGCAUGCAAAAGAAAAGUGCAUCGUCCCUACACUACUACUGUGUUGGAACAGGAGCUGUAACCACGGUUGUACGUACCAAGACAUUUCGGAUAAAAAAACAAGAUCUUUCUAAAAUUAGUAACAAGAAGUUAACUGAACAUAAAUUACAUCGGGCAAUCUGACUUCUUUGACAGGAAGCAUCUCAUAUUGAUAGUGAUGGCAACUCUCGAGUUUCACACAGCAGCUUGGGCAGACUCAAAUUAGAAUUGCAAAAACAGCAACUCUUGAGAUUGGCACAGCAGUUUAGCACAGGAGACACUUCCCCAAUAGGUCCUGUCACACACCAUUUUUUUCAGGCUUUCAAACUUUCAACAAGCCAAACUGUGGAAUAGUUGCCUGAAGUCGGGAGUGAGAAUGAUGCUGAAACCUUAUGAAGAAACCUUUCAAGACUAAUAUGCAACUUUACUUUUAAGACCUAUAUGCGUCCAUCGUCGACAACGAUGGAACAACAAAUGGAAAGCCGAUGAUUUACAACCUUGGAAGGAGACGAAACCCUCCAUACUUUUUGUUACUAUUAUAGAUUUUUAUGUUGAAAAAGUUACGGAAAAUUAUCGGGAAUGCCCAAGUAAUUAAUUUGUGUGUGGUCUCAUAGGGAAAGCUGUUCGAGUAAUCUGGUAUUCAUUUGAUCAUCUCACACUUGAUUCAUUUCGUGCCAGCUAGUGAAAGGCUGGUGAAAGGCGUGAAGAAUUCAAGUUUAGCUGCUGCGAGCUGCUGCGUGCAGUCAGCUAGCAAGCAAUCCAAUUGAUGUCCACCAGGUGGCGCGAGUGUAUUCAAGGCCCAAAUUUGGCCAUUUUGUUCCUUGACGCAGCAGAAGUGAGAUGCCGAUCGUGACGUUUCCCAAAUUGAAAAGGUGAUUGAUCAUACCACUUUGCCAUCUGAAUUGGAAAUGCCUAUACAUUUGCCGAAAUGUCGUGCCUCGUGUGUCUCGCUGCCUGUACCCAGUCGUACGUUACGUCCCAUGCAACAGCAAAAGUGUAACAACUACGCUUCUUGCUGCAGCCAGAUGGUGAAAGGUGUGAUGAAGAAAAGUUCAACUGUUGUAUGCAGGAUGUGGUGCCAGUGUUAUCCAGAAGUAGCUGUGUUGGAGUUAUCCCGUAGCAGCUGUGCCAGAAUUUUUCCAAAUUGCUGACUUGAAAAUUUUUACUGUUAUCAUUUGUGUGUUUUACUUUGCAAGUGAUAUCCCAUAUUGCUGAUUUGAAAUAUUUUUAUCCCUUUUUAUUUGUGGUUUUGCUCUGCCAGUGAGUUCUGACUUGAAUUGGUUUCAUCUGUUGUCUUUUGUCUUUUUACUUGGGCAGUAUACGACUGUGGCAAACUGAUUCUAUGUCAGUUUUGAUACAGUCGACAACUGCUAGAUUAAAUUCCGGCUUUCUGCACCAACAAAAUAAUAACGGCACAUGUUAU